rfam:Bombyx mori DNA, contig: Bm_scaf65_contig30022, strain: p50T/Dazao, build 2, whole genome shotgun sequence.
UUAACUUAUAUUUGUAUGGAGUUGGAACGUUUACCUACUUUUGCCGCUAGGGGCGUUGUUCCAACUGCAUACAAAUUUGAGUUA